UUGAACGCUGGCGGCAGGCCUAACACAUGCAAGUCGAGCGGAUGAAGGGAGCUUGCUCCUGGAUUCAGCGGCGGACGGGUGAGUAAUGCCUAGGAAUCUGCCUGGUAGUGGGGGAUAACGUCCGGAAACGGGCGCUAAUACCGCAUACGUCCUGAGGGAGAAAGUGGGGGAUCUUCGGACCUCACGCUAUCAGAUGAGCCUAGGUCGGAUUAGCUAGUUGGUGGGGUAAAGGCCUACCAAGGCGACGAUCCGUAACUGGUCUGAGAGGAUGAUCAGUCACACUGGAACUGAGACACGGUCCAGACUCCUACGGGAGGCAGCAGUGGGGAAUAUUGGACAAUGGGCGAAAGCCUGAUCCAGCCAUGCCGCGUGUGUGAAGAAGGUCUUCGGAUUGUAAAGCACUUUAAGUUGGGAGGAAGGGCAGCAAGUUAAUACCUUGCUGUUUUGACGUUACCAACAGAAUAAGCACCGGCUAACUUCGUG
rnacentral:rRNA from 1 species